GUAAUUUACGAUUUAUUUUUAUCUACAGGUCGAGUUGACGAUGAGACGGAGGUGCUUUUCUGUAUUUUUUUUGUCCAAUCCCUCUCCGUGUGUAUCUUGAGUAAAAUUUAAGUCAGAAUCAUAAAAAAGUCUUUUUACCUACUAUGCUAUGUCAACGCCGAUUUUAUCAAGUUUUUCCAAAACUGAUAAGAUAUUUUCGUCAAAAUAAUGCGGCAUUAACGCGCUACUAUAUUCAGAUCUGAACCAUAAACAAAAUAAGACAUCUUUGGAGGUCUUUGCAAACCAAAGAAAUGCACACUUUAAAGAAGCUGUCUAAACGAAU
rnacentral:lncRNA from 1 species